rnacentral:rRNA from 1 species
CCCUACGGGGCGCAGCAGUGGGGAAUACUGGACAAUGGGGGGAACCCUGAUCCAGCGACGCCGCGUGAGUGAAGAAGUAUUUCGGUAUGUAAAGCUCUAUCAGCAGGGAAGAAAUUGGACGGUACCUGACUAAGAAGCCCCGGCUAACUACGUGCCAGCAGCCGCGGUAAUACGUAGGGGGCAAGCGUUAUCCGGAUUCACUGGGUGUAAAGGGAGCGUAGACGGCCAUGCAAGCCUGGAGUGAAAGCCCGGGGCCCAACCCCGGGACUGCUCUGG